rnacentral:rRNA from 1 species
UGGGGAAUAUUGGACAAUGGGCGAAAGCCUGAUCCAGCCAUGCCGCGUGUGUGAAGAAGGUCUUCGGAUUGUAACGCACUUUAAGUUGGGAGGAAGGGCAGUAAGCGAAUACCUUGCUGUUUUGACGUUACCGACAGAAUAAGCACCGGCUAACUCUGUGCCAGCAGCCGCGGUAAUACAGAAGGUGCAAGCGUUAAUCGGAAUUACUGGGCGUAAAGCGCGCGUAGGUGGUUCGUUAAGUUGAAUGUGAAAGCCCCGGGCUCAACCUGGGAACUGCAUCCAAAACUGGAGAGUUAGAGUAGGGCAGAGGGUGGUGGAAUUUACUGGGUAGCGGUGAAAUGCGUAGAUAUAGGAAGGAACACCAGUGGCGAAGGCGACCACCUGGGCUCAUACUGACACUGAGGUGCGAAAGCGUGGGGAGCAAACAGG